rnacentral:lncRNA from 1 species
CCCUGCCAAAUCCCCCUCUAUGAGAAACACCCAAGAAUUAUCAAUAAAAAAAUAAAUUAAAAAAAAAAAAAAAAAAAAAAAAAAAAAGAUAAACAUCAUGAUUAGGCCGGGCGCGGUGGCUCACACCUGCAGUCCCAGCACUUUGGGAGGCUGAGGUAGGAGGAUCACGAGGUCAGGAGAUCAAGACCAUCCUGGCUAACACAGUAAAACCUCGUCUCUACUAAAAAUAUAUAUAUAUAUAAAAUGAGCCAGGUGUGGUGACGGGCACCUGUAGUCCCAGCUACUCAGGAGGCUGAGGCGGGAUAAUGGCGUGAACCCAGGAGGCGGAGGUUGCAGUGAGCCGAGAUCGCGCCACUGCACUCCAGCCUGGGUGACAGAGCGAGACUCUGACUCAAAAAAAAAAAAAAAAAAAAAAAAAAAGAUAAAUAUCAUGAUUAUUAUCAUUAUUGCCCCUACCUUCUCCCUGGCCUUGUUUUUCUCCAUUGCACUCUGACAUUCUAUAUAUUUUACUCAUUUCGUUAUCAUCUCUGUUUAUGAAAGAUGUUCUAUAAGGGCAGGGAUUUAUUUUUUUUUGUGACAGGGCCUUUUUUUGUCACCCAGGCUGGAGGGCAGUGGCACAAACAUGGCUCACUGUAGCCUCAACAUCCUGGGCUCAAGCAAUCCUCCCUCCUCGGCCUCCCAAAGUGCUGGGAUUAUAGGUAUGAACCACCGCAGCAGGCAAAGGCAGGGAUGUUUAAUUGCUUUUGUUCACUGUAGACCCCCAGGAUCCAGAACAGUCCCUGGCACAGUGGGGUUGCUCCGUGAAUGUCUGCUGAAUGAAUGAGUGAGCAAUUGAAUAUAGCAUUUCUGCCUUGAGUUUGAAUACUCCCUAGAGACUUGGUGCAGAGCUGUGGGCUGAUUAAGGAAUGGAAGUGAACCUGACCUUGAAGAAUAUUAGGGUCUGAUUGGUCAUUGAGAAGGUCCUCAGCCCCGUUAAAGAUGACAGGGACCCACUUGGACCAGAAUCAGGACAGGCCAGAGAAGCUGUGGGAAGGGGCUCCGGUGUCAGGCUAGGUUUCCUAGACACUCAGGAUGUGGCUGCCCUCCAGGACAUUGCCUGGAGGUGAGGACAGGCCCCUGAGUUCCCUGUCUCAGGACCCUGGGUCCUAAAAGCUGAGACAGCCUUGGGAAGGCUACCGGCCCCGUAACUUCUCAGCCUCCAGACUCCCCGGUGCUCCCAUAGUACCUGUGCUCCUGGCUGUCCCAGCUCCCACCCCAUUAGCAUAGAUUGAUUAGCUGGGGGUCUCCCCACUCCUUCCCUUGGUUGGGAGCAGGGCUGAUUGGUCGUUGUUUGCCUGGCCCCUAGCCUAGAGUUGGGGUACAUAAGAGCCCAGGGGAUGCUGGAGAUGUGACUGAAGGAACAAAGGAAUAAGUGUGAGUGAAUGGGUGGGGAGUGAAGGAGAAAAGAAAUGGGUGCAUGAAUGAAUGAACGAAUGAAUGAAUGAGUUUGUGAAAGCAAGAAUAAGAGGACAAGCCAGUUGGCCAGGCUGAGGAGAUGUUCCUGCUGAGGAUGGGAUGUGUUCAAACUGGUCCUCCUGCUAAGGUGGGCUAAGGUGAGCUAGAGUGCCCCUGGCCCGGCUCUGCUGGCAGCCCCAGCCUCUCACCCCAUUCCUACCCCCCGCCUCCCAUCUUGCUGUCUGCCUGAGCAUCUUGGCUGGUUCCCCACUCUCUGGGCAGCCCCGGGAAGCUCACAAAGGCCCAUCUGUGAGCCCAGACCCUGCAUCUUCUUCUUCUCCUUCCCCUUCCCCACCCCCCAAGAAUUGGUCUGAGCCCCUCUCCCUUCAUCUCCCAUUAAAAUAAACAUUCAUUUACUGGGAUUUCCUCCGGGCACCUCCUUGCUCCCAGGGCAGCCCCAGCCAUGUCUUGUAAAACUGCCUUCCCUCCUCUGGAUUUCCUUUUAACUGUCCUCUUCCUUUUACUUGCUGGGGGUGGGGUGGUGGGGUGAAGAGAGAGGAGUAAAAUACAGCUGGGUCAGUCCAGAUGUUUCCCCAGAAACAUGGAGAUGCUUAGGAUAUAAGGUGACAGCCGGCUCCCUGCCCAGCCGGGUGAGGCUUAAGUUCAUGGGCUGCCAAAAGUUCCAGGGCAGCCACCUCUGGCCCCUGGGCUGGGCUUGAACCCCUGCAGCUGGUGGAGUGGGGAGGGUAGGAGGAGAGGAGGGAGUCCCUCUUUCCAGCUAGUGCUGACAUAUCACAGAACAGGGAUUCAGGGGUCUCCUCCUAGCAGUCCCCUCUUUUCUCCCUUAAUCCCGCUGCAGCUUCAAUCACCAGGGCUGUUCUGCUGUGUGACCCCGGGCAGUCUCCUAACCUCUCUGGCCUCACAUUUUACCAUAUGGAAGGUGGGGCAGAAAUAACGAGGCUGAGAGGGCAUUGGACUCCCCUCAUUCUGAAAGACCCUUUGGACUUGGAGGUCCGUUAUCAAUCCCUGCAUCCAAGCAUUGGUUCAUUUAGCCUCCAGAUGUGCCAGACUGGGUGCUGGGGACAGAGCAAUGAACAAAGCACAGAGCCAGUUCUUGGGAAGGCAAACAGGGAAGAGGCAAUGAGAAUUCACUGUGGCAAGGGCUCUUGACAGAGGGGUGCUGGGAGGUCAGGGAAGGCUGAAAUGUGAAAGACAAUCAGCAGUAGCCAGUCCCCAUCAAGUCCCCAUCAAGACCCCAAACUGCCAUGCCCUGUGGCCAGGAUUGCUAAUGCAGCUUUCUGCUAGAUCCUGGUCCUGGAUUCCAUCUUGUCUACUGAGCUACUUCCAUGACAACCAUCCUUUCCCUUCACUGGAUCUUGAGUGCCCUGACCUCUUGGUUUACUUCCUUUCUGGUCACCAUCUCCCACCUUCCCUUUCUUUGUAUCCAAGUUAGAAUCCUCAGCGGUUCACCUCUUCAGUAACUCCUGCCAAUUCCUGAAUCCUUUCUUCCAUCUAUCUUUUUCACCCACCUAUGAAACUCCAACUUUAAAUGAGUGAAUUCUCAGCUGCUUCUUUACCUGCACCAGGGCAGAGGGAGAAAACCACUGCCUAGGGUAGACUGGUCCCCUGGAAAUAAUGUAUCUCAGGACCACGCACUCUCCUGCUCCACAGUGUCUGUUCUAGUUUCUAUUACCGUGUAACAAGACACCCCAAAACUCAUUGGCUUUAAUUUAACCAGACACAGUGGCGCAUGCCUACGGUCCUAGCUACUCAAGAGGCUAAGGCUGGAGGAUCACUUGAGCCCAGAAGUUUGAGGUUACAAUGAACUUCGAUUGCACCACUGCACUCCAGCCUGGGUAAUAGAGUGAGACCUUGUCUCUAAAAACAGACAAACAAGGGGGAGCGUGGUGGUUCACACCUGUAAUCACAGCACUUUGGGAGGCCAAGGCUGGGGGUUCACCUGAGGUCGGGAGUUUGAAACCAGCCUGGCCAAGAUGGUGAAGCCCCGUCUCUAC